AAGUAAAAUUUUAUUACAUACUUAUUCCCAAAGAGGACAGAGAGGUACAUCGAAUAUUCCAAUUCAUUGCAUUGAUUACAGAAGAUGCUCACAACCACGCCAUAGAAACUGUACUUGGGUUUUUGAGGGGGCGAGAGGGAAGCAGGUAUGAUAGUAUAUACAUGCAAUCCCAACAUUUACAAGAUGGAGAAGGGUCUCAAAUUUGAAGCCAGCCUGAGCAAUAAUUAAGAUUCUGUCUCAAAAAGCAAAACCAAAAACCACAUACAUAAAAGCCAGUUUUUUUCUUAAGUCAUCAGACUAUCUGGAGUAAACACAUCAUUUCUAAAUAACCUACAAGUCCAAGGUUAACAGUAGCCAGUAGCAAACUAAGAUGGAACUGUGGGUCAGGGAUAUUUUUCUGGGUCUUUAAACGUAACUCAGGCUGGAUAGUAACUCAUGAUCCUGCUUCUGCCUCCCAAGUGCUAGAAUUACAAGUAUAUGCUGCCUCCUCUGGUCAGUCAGUGGGGGCUAUAUCUUUGCCUCCAAAGAAGCUCUUACAGGGCUGUCACCUACUUGCCUUAUACAGACCUUAUACAGUCUUUUUGCAGUGCUACUUCUUCCAUGGUUUUUAUCUACCAUAUAGGAAGCCAGCCCCUUUGUCCUUCAUUCAGAUGCAGUAAACACAGGAUCUCUUAAUUGAGCUGAGAAGUUGGUUUUCAAAGCAAGAAACCACAUGAAAAUCUUUAAUAAAUAAGCAACCAAAGGUCUUAGAUUGCAGUAUAUGAAAUGUAAUGUCACCUGUAAACAACCACCAUACUACCAGACAGGUCUCUGCCAGACGUUAUGGAUUGCUUGGCUGAGCUACUGUAAUCACGUGAUACAGUACAGCCAGGCUAGUACCCAUGACAGACCUGCCUUCUACCUAGGAAGGCUCCUGUCACACCUCAUAGGGCUGUGCUGGUGGUAAUGGUAAAGUAGAAAACGUUCAAAGGCCAUCUAACUCCUAAGUUGCCUUCUUGAGCACGAGCCAGAACUAAAGCACCCAAACGUGACAUUUGAGAUAUCCUCUUCUGGAGACAACAUGAAGCCACAGCACAGCUGUGGAAGACAAGGGAAGAUGUGCCUUGUGGCCUUGGCUUUAUAGUGGUCCAGCCUGGAUGUCAGCUCGUCUUCUCCAGACUCCACGUUCCUUUUCUUCAGGUUAACGAGGGACAGUGGCUCUCGCCUGUCCCAGUUGGUGUCCCAGACGCCGCGCCCGGCUCGCGCUCCCGUCCAGGCCGGCGGCUCGGUCGCCCGCGUGUCUGCAUCCCCGCCACCUCGCGGCUUCCCUACCGCGACCGCCGAGAAGAGAACAGCGGCCGAGCCACCGGCCAGACCACAGGCCGCCAGCUGAAGCGCCUGCCGAAAAGCCAUGCCGCAAA
rnacentral:lncRNA from 1 species